rnacentral:rRNA from 1 species
UUGACCUCGGAUCAGGUAGGGAUACCCGCUGACUUAAGCAUAUCAAUAAGCGGAGGAA